rnacentral:pre_miRNA from 1 species
CUUCUACUCCCUCCGUUCCAAAUUACUCGUUGCAGAAAUGGAUGUAUCUAGAACUAAAAUACAUCUAGAUACAUCCAUACUUGCGACAAGUAAUUCGGAACGGAGGGAGUACAAG